rnacentral:lncRNA from 1 species
GAAAAGAAUACAAAAACUUAUUCUGGCUAGUUUCCCAUGCAUUAGUUCCAGUAGGCACGAUCUCAAAGUCUAAAGUCAUAUUUUCAUAUUAAUUUAUGACAAUAAAACUUUAUCCGAAAGUAGAGAGAAACAAAUAAAAUCUUCAAAUUUAUUCAUGUUUCAAAUUUUGGGAGCUAUCCCUAAUCCCACCACAACAGCGAGAAAGAACGUAUAAAAUUACCAUUUUGCCGUCGUCAACGAGGACAGGGUUUUCGCAGAGAGUGAGGUAAAGCUUCUUCUUGGAGGAGGAGGAGGUGGAGGAGGAGGAGGAGGCGUGAGAUAGGAUGGAGGGGAUAUCAGGGGGAAGGAACUUGUCCCAAACAGCGUCGGAAUCAGCGGCCGACAUGAAACUCUUAGACACCGCCGAAAACCUGCACGCGUCUCGAGGCGUCGUUAAGGAGACGACUUUAGCUAUGCAUCCUUCGGGCAACUCCUGCAGAUCCAUGUGAACGUGAUGAUGAUCGUCAUCGAGUACCAUCGACACCGGCGUCCUGCAGCCCCCGCAGGUGAUUCCUUCUCCUCCUCCUCCUCCUCCUCCUCCUCCUCCUCCUGAUGCACCGGCGUCGACUGUCUUCU